AGUGAACGCUGGCGGUAGGCCUAACACAUGCAAGUCGAACGGCAGCACAGUAAGAGCUUGCUCUUACGGGUGGCGAGUGGCGGACGGGUGAGGAAUACAUCGGAAUCUACUUUUUCGUGGGGGAUAACGUAGGGAAACUUACGCUAAUACCGCAUACGACCUACGGGUGAAAGCAGGGGAUCUUCUGACCUUGCGCGAUUGAAUGAGCCGAUGUCGGAUUAGCUAGUUGGCGGGGUAAAGGCCCACCAAGGCGACGAUCCGUAGCUGGUCUGAGAGGAUGAUCAGCCACACUGGAACUGAGACACGGUCCAGACUCCUACGGGAGGCAGCAGUGGGGAAUAUUGGACAAUGGGCGCAAGCCUGAUCCAGCCAUACCGCGUGAGUGAAGAAGGCCUUCGGGUUGUAAAGCCCUUUUGUUGGGAAAGAAAAGCAGCAGGUUAAUACCCCGCUGUUCUGACGGUACCCAAAGAAUAAGCACCGGCUAACUUCGUG
rnacentral:rRNA from 1 species